AAGACUUCUAGUAGAGGUGUUCCUUGGUUCAAAUCCCAGCCUGAAAGGAAAAUCAUUAACGGCUCUUGGGCAAGAUCCUUAAUCCCCUACUUUCUCCCGGUGUGAAGUGAGUGCCUUUUAUAGCAGCACCCUGACAUCAGGGUGAAUGUGAGGCAUUAUUGUAAAGCACUUUAUGCAUCUGAUACAGAUGC